rnacentral:rRNA from 1 species
AACGAACGCUGGCGGCAUGCCUAACACAUGCAAGUCGAACGAGACCUUCGGGUCUAGUGGCGCACGGGUGCGUAACGCGUGGGAACCUGCCCUUAGGUUCGGAAUAACUCCCCGAAAGGGGUGCUAAUACCGGAUAAUGUCUUCGGACCAAAGAUUUAUCGCCUUUGGAUGGGCCCGCGUUGGAUUAGCUGGUUGGUAGGGUAAAAGCCUACCAAGGCGAGGUUCCAUAGCUGGUCUGGGAGGAUGAUCCGCCACACUGGGACUGAGACACGGCCCAGACUCCUACGGGAGGGAGCAGUGGGGAAUAUUGGACGAUGGACGAAGGCCUGAUCCAGCAACGCGGGGUGAGUGAUGAAGGCCUUAGGGUUGUGAAGCUCUUUUACCCGGGAUGAUAGUGACAGUACCGGGAGAAUAAGCUCCGGCUAACUCCGUG